rnacentral:sRNA from 1 species
GGCAGGAUCCGCAGAGCACAGCUGCAGCCACUGUGCUAAAGCGGGCGGUACAACUAGAUUCGGAGUCGCGGUAUCCGCAGGCUCUGGUGUGUUACCAAGAGGGGAUUGAUCUGCUUCUGCAGGUUCUGAAAGGUACCAAAGAUAAUACUAAGAGAUGUAAUCUCAGAGAAAAAAUUUCCAAAUACAUGGACAGAGCGGAAAACAUAAAGAAGUACUUGGACCAAGAAAAAGAAGGUAAAGAGGUUGUUUUAGAAAACGCAUCCAUAAACAACUGUGACCGUCCAUUCACCCAAUGUUUCUGGCUCCUGCCCUUUGGAGCUCUGUGUGGUCUGGACCAGUUGUCCCUGGGAGCUUACAGGAUUUAAUCUGUAUUUCCACUCCCAUACAGGAGUUGUUCUUAAUUUUUUUGUUUGUUUGUUUUGGUUUUUGUUUUUAGUUCGGGGUGGGAAUGUCAGACACCCCUUUGAACAUCUGAUGAAAGCUAUACAUACUGGAGAAUGUUACAUGCCAUUUUUAAGGGGUUCACAAAUCCCUAUGAAGCUUAUGUGUGGACCCUACGUUAAGAAAUACUACAGAGGAAUACUGAAUGUAAAUUGUGUAUUUUAUUUAUAUUUCGCUUUAUGAAAUGACCAAAAUCAUGAAAGAAGCUAAAGAAACUCCUGGGCUUUCUCUCAGAUUUUGUUGUGAAUCAAAACACCUCAGGAGUUAAGCAUUCCUAAUGAUUAGAGGUCAGGUAGGUAUUGUUCCCUAUUAUUAGUUCCCUACUCCUAAGCACCCAGUUUACAAAUGUCUGUAAAUGGCCAUUUCCACCCUUACCUGAGUGCAUACUUGCUGCUUGCUAUAGCCAAAGGUACUGCUGCCCUCAAAAGCCAGUGCCCCCAGGCCCCAGCUUUUCCUCCUCUCUAUACUUUCUACACCCCUUUCCCCAUCUCUUCCUACUGUUCUGUAUCAGUACAUACCCUGGGGACCCCCACUGAGCUCCUUUGUUCAGUGGGAAUAAAGUUGUGUUUCCUUAGCCCCGAUUUGAAAUUUAGAAUGAAAUUUUACUCCAAAACAUUGAUGAAAUAUAGUACCUUCAGCAUUGUGGUUUUGAGUACAUGGAAUUAAAUUUUUAACCUCUAUGUGGCUAUCUUGGCUUAAAAAAUAAGGCAUAGUUGCCAACAUUAUCUAUGUGGAAAUAUUUGGAACAGAAUCCAAACUACUGAUUUUUAAACAAAGUGUAAAGUAUAAUUUAGGGGCUACCAUUAGGGUUUUUUUUUUUUUUUUUUUUUUUUUUUUUUAGACAGAGUCUCGCUUUGCUACCCAGGCUGGAGUGCAGUGGCGUGAUCUCGGCUUACUGCAACCUCUGCCUCCUGGGUUCAAGCAAUUCUUCUGUCUCAGCCUCCCGAGUAGCUGGGACCACAGGCACCCGACACCAAGCCUGGCUCAUUUUUUUAUUUUUAGUAGAGUUGAGGUUUUGCCAUAUUGGUCAGGCUGGUCUCUAACUCCUGACCUCAGGUGAUCCUCCCGCCUCAGCCUCCCAAAGUGCUGGGAUUACAAGUGUGAGCCACCACGCCCAGCCAGGGGUCAUAAUUUUUUAAAACCUUAAAGGUUUCUGAUAAUUUUUUCAAUGCUCAUUUUGAAUUAACAAAAGCAAUAGAUCUAUCCUAUUGAUCCUGUGACAUCCCAGUCUUUAGCUUGAGUUAUUAAGAAGUACUAAAAAUUUGUUUAAAACUCUACACGUGCCAAGAAAGACUUUGAAGCUUCAUAUUAUACUGCAUUAAUGUUUUUUCUUUCUCUUUUUUUUUUUUUUUUUUUUUGAGGUAGAGUCUUGCUCUGUUGCCCAGGCUGGAGUGUGGUGGCGUGAUCUCAGCUCACUGCAACAUCCACCUGGGUUAAGUGAUUCUCCUGCCUCAGCCCCCCAGGUAGUUGGGACUACAGGCGCCUGACAUCACGCCUGGCUACUUUUUAUAUUUUUAGUAGAGCUGGGGUUUCACCAUGUUGGCCAGGCUGGUCUCGAACUCCUGACCUCAAAUGAUCUACCUACCUUGGCCUCCCAAAAUGCUGGGAUUACAGGCGUGAGCUACCGCGCCCUGCCCUGCAUUCAUGUUUAAUACUCACUUUAGUUAUUAGAUUGCAAGACAUAAAAAGACAAGUCUGAAGAGAAGGACCAGAUAGCCACUGAGUUUUAGUAUGUGGUGCUACCCAUGGUGACAGGAAGUUAUUGGAUACCUUUAUAUAUACACUACUCCCUUCAACAAACUGCCUGGUCUAUAGGAUCUGGCUCAAGGACCUGUUCCAGGAAACCUCUAGAUUUUCCCCCUUGCCUAGCCUCUGUGAAGGCAGAAAUCACUUAAUGGAGUGGUUUGCCUUAAAUACCUUUGUACAUGUAACAUCCUGCAAUGUAUAUGAUAUUUAGUAGGCAUUCAAUAAGUAUUUGCUGAAUAAGUUAAAAAAAUUAAUAUGUAUCUGAUGCUGAUUAAUCACUCUAUAUAAAAUAUAAAAUGUGUAAAAAAAAUGCUCACUGGUUUUACUGUUGAAGCCUGUGUUUUAUAGAUGGAAAAUAUCACAAGCAAAUUAAAAUAGAAGAGAAUGCAACAGGUUUCAGUUAUGAGUCACUUUUUCGCGAAUACCUUCAUGAGACAGUUACAGAAGUUUGGAUAGAAGAUCCUUAUAUUAGACAUACUCAUCAGGUAUGUGAACAUACUAAAAUAUAAUGAAAUAUCAUAUUGAAUGUACUAAAUUAGUAAUAAUCCAUUCUAAUGUCUUUUAGCUGUAUAACUUUCUUCGAUUUUGUGAGAUGCUUAUUAAGAGACCGUGUAAAGUAAAAACUAUUCACCUUCUCACCUCUCUGGAUGAAGGCAUUGAGCAAGCGCAGCAAAGUAGAGGCCUGCAAGAAAUAGAAGAGUCACUCAGGAGUCACGGAGUGCUGUUGGAAGUUCAAUACUCUUCUUCAAUACAUGACCGAGAAAUUAGGUUCAACAAUGGAUGGAUGAUUAAGAUUGGAAGGGGACUUGAUUAUUUUAAGAAACCACAGGUAGGAUAUAAUCUUAUGAGUAAAUGUGUAGCACUGUUUUUGUAUCAUUUUUAAUGAUACUCUUUUCUUCUCUUCUUAGAGUCGUUUUUCCCUUGGAUAUUGUGAUUUUGAUUUAAGACCAUGUCAUGAAACAACAGUGGACAUUUUUCAUAAGAAGCAUACAAAAAAUAUAUGAUGGGCAGUAGCCUAAUUUGUAUUAUGUCUACUUUAACUGAAUAUUGGAUUUUUUUAAAAGAUCACUUUUAUAAUGUAUGAAUUUAACAAUAAACUUUUAUAUUUCUACUAA